rnacentral:rRNA from 1 species
AGCAGCCGCGGUAAUUCCAGCUCCAAUAGCGUAUAUUAAAGUUGUUGCAGUUAAAAAGCUCGUAGUUGAAUUUCGGGGUUCUACCGUUGGUCGGGCUUUGUCUGUACUGAUGUGUAGAAUUUCUACCUUCUGGGGAACCAUCAUGUUAUUAAUUUAGCGUGGUGGGAAACCAGGACCUUUACCUUGAAAAAAUUAGAGUGUUCAAAGCAGGCUUAUGUCUGAAUACAUUAGCAUGGAAUAAUAGAAUAGGACGGUGGUCCUGUUUUGUUGGUUUCUGAAUCACCGUAAUGAUUAAUAGGGAUAGUUGGGGGCAUUAGUAUUCAAUUGUCAGAGGUGAAAUUCUUGGAUUUAUUGAAGACUAACUUCUGCGAAAGCAUUUGCCAAGGAUGUUUUCAUUAAUCAAGAACGAAAGUUAGGGGAUCGAAGACGAUCAGAUACCGUCGUAGUCUUAACCAUAAACUAUGCCGACUAGGGAUCGGACGAUGUUAAUUUUUCUUGACUCGUUCGCGCCUUACGGGAA